UCAAACAAUACGGUAACAUUUUCUAUUGAUGAUGUCCAUUGAAUGUGUUGUAAUUGUAAUUGAUGGUGCUGCCCGCUGAAUUUUUCAAGAAUUCAAGCAUCAAAACAUGGGCUGUCUUGCCAUGCGUAUGAGCACACAGCAAAAGCAACCUAUUGAUUAAUCAUCUAUCAUAUCAAAAUAUCUACCACCACUAAUCAAUAUUUUAGAAACAAAAUUUCAUAAAAA
rnacentral:lncRNA from 1 species